rnacentral:tRNA from 1 species
UAUACGUAAGUGUUAUCAGCACGAGAAGUUUUGAUCUUCUAAGAAUUGGUGAGAUCCCAUUAUGUAUAA